rnacentral:rRNA from 1 species
CACGUAGGGACCGAGCGUUGUCCGGAUUCAUUGGGCGUAAAGGGUGCGUAGGCGGCGCGGUAAGUCGGGUGUGAAAUCUUGGAGCUUAACUCCGAAACUGCAUUCGAUACUGCCGUGCUUGAGGACUGGAGAGGAGACUGGAAUUUACGGUGUAGCGGUGAAAUGCGUAGAUAUCGUAAGGAAGACCCGUGGCGAAAGCGGCGCGCUGGACCACUACUGACGCUGAGGAACGAAAGCUAGGGGAGCAAACAGG